GACAGAGGUCUCAAGCGUUGUUCGGAUUCAUUGGGCGUAAAGGGUGCGUAGGCGGCGCGGUAAGUCGGGUGUGAAAUCUUGGAGCUUAACUCCGAAACUGCAUUCGAUACUGCCGUGCUUGAGGACUGGAGAGGAGACUGGAAUUUACGGUGUAGCGGUGAAAUGCGUAGAUAUCGGAAGGAACACCGGUGGCGAAAGCGGCGCGCUGGACCUCUUCUGACGCUGAGGCGCGAAAGCCAGGGGAGCAAACGGG
rnacentral:rRNA from 1 species